UUAGUGAUACGCCUGUUGGGUAGGGGAGCGUUGUGUAAGCGGAAGAAGGUUCAUCGAGAGGUGGGCUGGACGUAUCACAAGUGCGAAUGCUGACAUAAGUAACGAUAAAACGGGUGAAAAACCCGUUCGCCGGAAGACCAAGGGUUCCUGUCCAACGUUAAUCGGGGCAGGGUGAGUCGGCUCCUAAGGUGAGGCUGAAAAGCGUAGUCGAUGGGAAACAGGUUAAUAUUCCUGUACUUGGUAAAGCUGCGAUGUGGGGACGGAGUAGGUUAGGUUAUCGCACUGUUGGAUAUGUGCGUUUAAGUUGGUAGGUGGGAAGUUUAGGCAAAUCCGGACUUCCUUAACACAGAGAGAUGAUGACGAGGCUCUACGGAGCUGAAGUAACUGAUACCACACUUCCAGGAAAAGCCACUAAGCGAAAGGCUUUACUAAACCGUACUGAAAACCGACACAGGUGGUCAGGUAGAGAAUACUCAGGCGCUUGAGAGAACUCGGGUGAAGGAACUAGGCAAAAUAGCACCGUAACUUCGGGAGAAGGUGCGCCGGCGUAGAUUGUAAGGGCUAGCCCCUGAAGGUUGAACCGGUCGAAGAUACCAGCUGGCUGCAACUGUUUAUUAAAAACACAGCACUCUGCAAACACGAAAGUGGACGUAUAGGGUGUGAUGCCUGCCCGGUGCUGGAAGGUUAAUUGAUGGUGUCAUCGCAAGAGAAGCACCUGAUCGAAGCCCCAGUAAACGGCGGCCGUAACUAUAACGGUCCUAAGGUAGCGAAAUUCCUUGUCGGGUAAGUUCCGACCUGCACGAAUGGCAUAAUGAUGGCCAGGCUGUCUCCACCCGAGACUCAGUGAAAUUGAAAUCGCCGUGAAGAUGCGGUGUACCCGCGGCUAGACGGAAAGACCCCGUGAACCUUUACUAUAGCUUGACACUGAACAUUGAAUUUUGAUGUGUAGGAUAGGUGGGAGCCUUUGAAGCAGUGACGCCAGUCAUUGUGGAGGCGAGCUUGAAAUACCACCCUUUAACGUUUGAUGUUCUAACGAAGAUGACGAAACGUGGUCUCGGACAGUGUCUGGUGGGUAGUUUGACUGGGGCGGUCUCCUCCCAAAGCGUAACGGAGGAGCACGAAGGUUUGCUAAUCACGGUCGGACAUCGUGAGGUUAGUGCAAUGGUAUAAGCAAGCUUAACUGCGAGACAGACAAGUCGAGCAGGUACGAAAGUAGGUCAUAGUGAUCCGGUGGUUCUGAAUGGAAGGGCCAUCGCUCAACGGAUAAAAGGUACUCCGGGGAUAACAGGCUGAUACCGCCCAAGAGUUCAUAUCGACGGCGGUGUUUGGCACCUCGAUGUCGGCUCAUCACAUCCUGGGGCUGAAGUAGGUCCCAAGGGUAUGGCUGUUCGCCAUUUAAAGUGGUACGCGAGCUGGGUUUAGAACGUCGUGAGACAGUUCGGUCCCUAUCUGCCGUGGGCGU
rnacentral:rRNA from 1 species